rnacentral:snRNA from 1 species
AAUCUCUGGUUUCCCUUCAAAACGUAUAAAUCUUUCGCCUUUUACUAAAGAUUUCCGUGGAGGGGAACACUCAAAUGAGUCUAUAAUAUUUUUGAUGGUCUAUCUCUCGGGGUAGACCCUUU